rnacentral:lncRNA from 1 species
CGGUCAUUUUCUUCUUGGAUUUACAGAUGGAGAACAUCAACCCCAAAAUCGAAAGAAAUAAUUGAAAUGAGACGUUUGCAAUUGGGGACGCGGAGAGUGACGGUGGAAUUAGCAUAUAGGUGGUGGCGGGCGGUGGUUCUAGGUGGUGGAGUAGGUUAGUUUAGCCCAAUCUAUGGUUCUUUGUCAGCGGAUUAUUGAAGAAGACGAGAUUUUACAGGGAGGGAUUCAGAGUUUUUUGAGUUUUGUUUAGUGAAGUCUUUUUCGUUUGGGGUCUUAAAUGGUUUCUGUCGCGACUAGUUUGGUUUGACUGUGUUUGGCUGGGAAUAAGUUGUUUUCUCUCGUAAAAAAGAUUUCCUGUUUGGUAGGGAUUUUGAGAAUUAAUUUUUUUAUCGUUAAAAGAAAAGUGGGGUCCACAUGUGAGAGAAGAAGUCAAAAAUUACGGUUUGAAUAGUAAAAUAUCGGUCAAAAAAUCCCUACCAAACGGAGCGGAGGACGGAUUCUCGGAGGCUUGAAAGAGAAGUACGGCUAGAUAACGAGGAUUGCCAUGAAUCUUUAUAGAAGCUCGAGGUGGAUGCUGUGCUUGGGAUCAUGAAAUUGUUGGUGCUGGUUGAUGAGUUUUCUAUUGAAGAUUGUUGGGAUUUCUUGGAUUUUCUCGGUGAUGAUGAUUUUGGUCUGGUUGAGUGUUCAAUGACUUCUGCGGUCAUUUUCUUCUUGGAUUUACAGAUGGAGAACAUCAACCCCAAAAUCGAAAGAAAUAAUUGAAAUGAGACGUUUUGCAAUCGGGGACGCGGAAAGUGACGGUGGAAUUAGCAUAUAGGUGGUGGCGGGCGGUGGUUCUAGGUGGUGGAGUAGGUUAGUUUAGCCCAAUCUAUGGUUCUUUGUCAGCGGAUUAUUGAAGAAGACGAG